UACGUAGGGGGCAAGCGUUGUCCGGAAUCAUUGGGCGUAAAGAGCGUGUAGGCGGGCAGAUAAGUCCGCUGUGAAAUCUCGAGGCUCAACUUCGAGCUGUCGGUGGAAACUGUCUGGCUAGAGUCCGGAAGAGGAGAAUGGAAUUCCUGGUGUAGCGGUGAAAUGCGCAGAUAUCAGGAAGAACACCCGUGGCGAAGGCGGUUCUCUGGGACGGUACUGACGCUGAGACGCGAAAGCGUGGGGAGCGAACAGG
rnacentral:rRNA from 1 species